UUCCAACCUUUUAUGAACCCUGAUACUAGUUUCCACUAUGUACCCAUUAUUAGUUUCCAGUCUCAAACUGUCUGGAUCUAAAACUACAUUCCAUCAGGAAUUGGAAUUGAGUCUUUGCAGGAGUGGGGAAGGGGCUGUCCACUACAGGAUCAGAACCUGGGAAGGGGGCUAUCAAAAUGUUCUCUAGACUUCUCUCCCAGGAAGAUGUUAUGCCCAAAGCUGGGCUAGAAGAGGCAAGAGGAACCAGGGACUGCACUUAACAGCUGGAUAGAAAAUGGGAAUAGAAGGGAUAGGAAAAAAGAACAAAGACAAAAAAAGGAAUGGGCAAGUCCACAGCAAAAAAUUUGAAGAAGGGACAAGCAAAAAGUUGGAGGGAAAAGAGAAGCCUCCUUCAGAUCUCUAGCCCAGCCGUGUGAGACAGGGUUCUGUAGACUUCUAAGAUCUGGAGUGGAGCCAUCUGAAAGAAGUGGGAGUGCUGGGAUCCAGCCAGUGAUGGGGAGCUCUCAGCUAGCACCAUGGGGUUCCAGGCUGGAUGAAGUUAGAGAUAACGAAACGAUAAAAAUGCUAAGAAUGUCCUGUGUGCUGAUUAAAGAUGAGGAACUAUUGCU
rnacentral:sRNA from 1 species